rnacentral:rRNA from 1 species
GGGGAGCGACCCCCCGAGUGCCGGCGCUAACGCAUUAAGUUCCCCGCCUGGGGAGUACGGCCGCAAGGCUGAAACUCAAAGGAAUUGACGGGGGCCCGCACAAGUGGUGGAGCAUGUGGUUUAAUUCGACGCAACGCGAAGAACCUUACCUAGGCUUGACAUGUACGGGAAAGCCUCUGGAAACAGAGGCCCCUCUUCGGAGCUCGUGCACAGGUGCUGCAUGGCUGUCGUCAGCUCGUGUCGUGAGAUGUUGGGUUAAGUCCCGCAACGAGCGCAACCCUUGCCCUUAGUUACCAGCGGAUAAUGCCGGGGACUCUAGCGAGACUGCCGGUGUCAAACCGGAGGAAGGUGGGGAUGACGUCAAGUCCUCAUGGCCUUUAUGUCUGGGGCUACACACGUGCUACAAUGGCAACUACAGAGCGACGCAAACCCGCGAGGGGGAGCAAAUCGCAAAAAAGUUGUCUCAGUUCGGAUCGGAGUCUGCAACUCGACUCCGUGAAGUCGGAAUCGCUAGUAAUCGAGGAUCAGCACGCCUCGGUGAAUACGUUCCCGGGCCUUGUACACACCGCCCGUCACGNCCAUGGGAGCUAAUUGCUCCAGAAGUCGGUGCGCUAACCGCAAGGAAGCAGCCGCCCAAGGAGUGGUUGGUGACUGGGGCGAAGUCGUAACAAGGUACC